CGCGUAGGCGGUUUAUCAAGUCGCAUGUGAAAUACCAGGGCUCAACCCUGGGAGGUCAUGCGAAACUGAUGGACUUGAGUGCAGUAGAGGAAAGCGGAAUUCCUGGUGUAGCGGUAAAAUGCGUAGAGAUCAGGAGGAACACCGGUGGCGAAGGCGGCUUUCUGGGCUGUAACUGACGCUGAGGCGCGAAGGCGUGGGGAGCAAACAGGAUUAGAUACCCUGGUAGUCCACGCUGUAAACGAUGAAUGCUAGGUGUAGGGGACGCAGGUCUUCUGUGCCGGAGCUAACGCAAUAAGUAUUCCGCCUGGGGAGUACGGCCGCAAGGUUGAA
rnacentral:rRNA from 1 species